GCCAGAGAGGCCCUUACAGAGAGCUCAUCCUUCCCCAUCCCUCCUGGGCUGGGACUUCACCAGGAACUCUCCAAUCUCCUGUUUCACCCGACCAUAAAAAGUACGUCUGCUGAGAGUGGGGGUGGCCUAACAUGUGGCCAGUGGAGGAGCCCAUCUCAGUCCUACUUGCCAGGGGCGCCAUUGCUUGGGUCCAAAGCCCCACGCCUCCUCCAGUCUGCGACUUUUGCUUCCACGUGCACGUCUUGUGGUGGCCAUUGCUCCUGGACCCCAAAAGCCAGUUUCCUUCUACCUUGGGGCUUAUGGAAGGAUCACCGUUUCCCAUGCCCUGAAGAACCACACAGCCACGAGACUUGCUGUGGUCUAAGAAGUGAGUGGCGCUUCCAGGUGGAAGCGUUUGAGCUGAUGUGUGUGACUCUCUGUGCACUUGUUGACUUGACCACCAGCUUUCCAAAUGGUGGAGCUUUUGUCAGCCAAGGUCGUAGAGUGAAAAUGACGUGGAACAGAGUCCUUGUAGAUCCGUGACCACGGUCACAUGAGUCAGG
rnacentral:lncRNA from 1 species